rnacentral:ncRNA from 1 species
UUGACGGAGAGUUUGAUCCUGGCUCAGGACGAACGCUGGCGGCGUGCUUAACACAUGCAAGUCGAGCGGUAAGGCCCUUUCGGGGGUACACGAGCGGCGAACGGGUGAGUAACGCGUGAGUAACCUGCCCCCCUCUCUGGGAUAACAGUUGGAAACGGCUGCUAAUACCGGAUAUUCAGACCUUUAGGCAUCUUUUGGUUUGGAAAGUUCUGGCGGUGGGGGAUGGACUCGCGUCCUAUCAGCUUGUUGGUGGGGUAGUGGCCUACCAAGGCGACGACGGGUAGCCGGCCUGAGAGGGCGACCGGCCACAUUGGGACUGAGAUACGGCCCAAACUCCUACGGGAGGCAGCAGUGGGGAAUAUUGCACAAUGGGGGAAACCCUGAUGCAGCAACGCCGCGUGCGGGAUGACGGCCUUCGGGUUGUAAACCGCUUUCAGCCAUGACGAAGCUUUUGUGACGGUAGUGGCAGAAGAAGCACCGGCUAACUACGUGCCAGCAGCCGCGGUGAUACGUAGGGUGCGAGCGUUGUCCGGAAUUAUUGGGCGUAAAGAGCUUGUAGGCGGUUUGUCGCGUCGAAAGUGUAAACUCAGUGCUUAACGCUGAGCCUGCUUUCGAUACGGGCUGACUAGAGGAAGGUAGGGGAGAAUGGAAUUCCCGGUGGAGCGGUGGAAUGCGCAGAUAUCGGGAGGAACACCAGUGGCGAAGGCGGUUCUCUGGACCUUUCCUGACGCUGAGAAGCGAAAGCGUGGGUAGCAAACAGGCUUAGAUACCCUGGUAGUCCACGCCGUAAACGGUGGGUACUAGGUGUGGGGGACAUUCCACGUUCUCUGUGCCGUAGCUAACGCAUUAAGUACCCCGCCUGGGGAGUACGGCCGCAAGGCUAAAACUCAAAGGAAUUGACGGGGCCCCGCACAAGCGGCGGAGCAUGCGGAUUAAUUCGAUGCAACGCGAAGAACCUUACCUGGGUUUGAAAUAUACCGGAAACGUCUAGAGAUAGGCGCCCCGUAAGGUCGGUAUACAGGUGGUGCAUGGCUGUCGUCAGCUCGUGUCGUGAGAUGUUGGGUUAAGUCCCGCAACGAGCGCAACCCUCGUCUAAUGUUGCCAGCAAGUUAUGUUGGGGACUCGUUAGAGAC